CCGGGACCUCAUGCUCCCUUGGGAACCAUAACUCAGGCAUCAGAAACCUUCUGGCCCACAUGUUCCUCCUCCCUCAGCAACUACACUCCUCAGCAAGAAAAACCUGUGUUCCAAACUAGGUGAACCUGCGAUAAAUAUCCCGGAAUCCCUCACAGAUCAUCUGGUCCGCCUCUCAACCAGGAAGUUCAAAGGACGCUGGGCUGUACAGCCAAACAGCAAAUCCAAAACUCAAAAUGACGUGAGCCAAGAGGAAGGUGGUUUUUCAAUAGGGUUCACCCAGUGGAACUGGUUGGCUGUCCUUUUUUUCCCCUGGCCGAGGCCCCCGGCUUCCUGUAGACGGUGCUAACCCUGGGAGGUCUGUCCAGACGUGGGCAGGUGUGGGGCAUGUCACCCUCUGGGCAUCUGCUGUCGCCGCCGCUGGGGCCCUGGACCCAAUCGUGGUCCACGGUCCGGAUGACGCACCUGGCCAGGGUCCCGUCCACGUGCGGGGCCGAGAGCGCGUCCCCAGCUGGGGGACCCCGCGCCUGCCCGCAGGGAGGGGGCAGGAGGGCACCUGGGGCUCCAGCCUCAGGGCUCCCGCGGUCCCCAGCCGGGCAUCGGGUUGCAGGAGGAGCGCGCUUCUCGCCACCUCCUGCCGGGCGUCCAGCGCAUCUCCCAGUCUGCAGAGCGUCUGAGUGGGGCGCGUGGCCUGCGGGCUCAGUGAACAGAACGAUGGGCUCAAAUCCACUCACCUGGCUGCUCUGUGAAGUUCUCUGCCUAUAAGCCCAGCUGAAGGUGUCCUUGGUGUGACCUUCAGCCCUGAUGGUGUUUUGGAGAGUGGCAGACCAAAGCCAGAGCACGGAGCUGGACCCAUUGAUAGCAAGAGUGGCCUACGACUCCCUAGUGUACUUCUCCUCCUUAAACUGGACAAGGAAACUGAGGCUCAAGGACAUUACCUAACAUCUGCAAGGCCACAAAUUGAGAAAACUGGAAAUCAGGUCUAUCCUGUGCUACAUAAGAAUAAGUAGUUGCAAUACAGGCUGAGAGAGGCUGCUGGGCCAUGGUGACCUAACAUGGUCGGAGCUGGGGGAACAUAUUUGCGAUUGCAUCUCACCAUCCCUCCAACCUCCUGCUGUCGCUUUCCAUUGACAAACACAACAGGAAGCCAAGAACAAGGAAGCAGGAAAGCCAGAGGACAAAGUGCGAGCAACGAUGGAGAAGAUGCAGUAACACUGCAGUAAGUGCCAGAAAAGAAAUGUGAGGUUUCACGAAGUGAAAAUUGCUUUUCCUUCCAUCCAGCUCAUGCCUGCCCUGUGCAGGGGCUUCUUAGACAGGUAACUACUUGCAACUUCCUUUGUUUAAGGAAAUGAGGGUCAAUCCAGUGCUUAGGGUACUACUUGCCUUUGUUCAAGGACUCUCCUUUUAAAAGAGUAACAUGGUGAAGCUUGUGAAGCCUAAUUUUCCCAGGAAUGCAACAUUUGUUUAAAGGUAUUACCGUCAGGAUUUUUUGGUCCUCAGGGUAUAGCAAGUUUCCCUUCUGGUUUUUGUAUGAUGAAUACGAAUGAUCCAGAUGGGGAGUGUAAGUGACAUAACAGCACCAGGACGGAUUGUAAAGGGAUCAGCAACCUAUAAGCUGGUGAAAUGCUACUGUGGCUAAGGAUGGGCCAGGCCUCUUCGCUAAGUGGCUGGCUGCUCUACUAGCUUAGCAUUUAUCCCGUUUACCUCUAUGUUUUUCUAACUUUGUUUGUUUGUUUGUUUUCAUUCCUUGGAGCUGUGAAGGACUGCAAGUGAUAGUUACAAAUAUAACCAAGUAGCUGUGAACGUGGAUUUGUGGCCAUGUUGCUCUGGGAAUUGGAACCCAGCAAUGAAUGUGACCACAGCAAUUGACUUCAAGUCUUUCUCACCUCCUGUAAGUGGGAAACAAAGUAAUGCUACCCACCCGAUGGGGUUGUAAGGAUUCAACUGGAGAAUUUUUGUGAAAUGCUUGGCCCAGACUCUAUAGUCAUUAAGAAUUCUGUUGAUUACAAGCUACAAUAAUUAUAUGCUGACUUCUAAAAAUAAGCUCAAAAUUUUAAAUGUGGUAUAAAACCAUAAAAUUUACCAUUUUAAAAUUUACAAUUCAGUAGUGUUCAGUAUGUUCACAUUGUUGUAAAACAGAAUUCAGAACUUUUUCAUCCUGUAAACUGAGACUUCAUUUUAAAAGAAUAGUUUUAAAUUUACAGGAAAAUUGAAAAGACAGUACAGAGAAUUCUCAUAUGCCCAUCACCCAAUUCCCUCACAUUAACAUCAUGUGGUAUAUUUGCUGUAACUAUUGUUUGCUAAAGCCAAUACUUUAUCCAGAUUUUCUUAGGUUUCCUUUAGCUUUUCUGUUCUAAGAUCCUAUCCAGUGUUCAGCAUGUCACCUAGUUGUCGUGUCUCUUCAGCUUCCCCUUGGAUGUGACAGUUUCUCAGACUCCUCAUUUUUGAUAACCUGGACCGUUUUGAGAAGAACCUGUGAGGUAUUUUGUAGACCUCCUUUCAUCUUGGAUUUAUGUGAUAUUUUUCUCUUGAUUAGACUGGGCUAAGAGUACAUACUAUCAGUAUGACAUUCCUGUUGAUGUUGAUAUUCAUUACCCAGCUAAAAUAAUGUUUGUCAGGUUGCUCACUGUAAUGUUACAAGGGUCUCAAUUUGUGAUUCCCUAAUAAAAUGAUACUGAGGCUCUUUUCAAAUCUUUAUGUGUCUUCUGUAUAUUUUCUUUGGUGAGAUGGCUGUUCAAAUCUUUUGCCCUUUUUUUAAGUUGUUUUUUUUCUUUUUGCUGAAGUUUAAGCUUUUUUUUAAAAAAUAUAUUUUGGAUACAAGGAGCUUAGGAGGUAUGGUCCCUACAUCUGGUAGUGGUAAUUGCCCUCUGAACCCGAGACAAAGGAUUUCCACCUCACAGUGUCACCCUGUUUAGCUAUUCAGGGGUCCCCACCGGUGCAGAUGCUGUGUCCCACACGGUAGCCUGAGGUUGCCCGUCAUGGUGGGUAGACAGCGGCUUCGGAGACUGCUGGGGUUUCCUGCUGAAGAUGGAAGGGGAGCUGAGUACACACAGCUUUUCCUAAAAACCCUUCUUGGCUUUGAUCCUGUUCAUGCUGUUUUACUCAGAACCCUAGAGUACUAGUAGCUUAUAAAGUGGGGACGGUCAGCAUUUCGGAGCCUAAAAGUCAUUAUUUUCUGAGUCACCUCUAAUAAACUCAUUUACUCACAAACUGGACUCAUCCAAGGCAUUCUUUGGACUGUCAGUACCCUCUCAAUCCAGAGGCAGGUAUUUCUUCUGUGUCUGGGAAAUUCAUACAACACUAAUCUAUUUAUUUUUAAUGUCUCCCACAGAAUGAAAGCUUUUGGUUUUAAUAAAGUCCAUCUCAUGAAUAUUUUCUUUCACGGACAAUGAUUAGAUGAUUUUACAACUAGAAACUCACCAUUAAACACAAGUUCACAUUGCUUCACAGCUUUGCUGUUUUCUGGCAGUUUUAUAGUUUUGUAUUUUAUAUGUAACAUGUAGAAAGCUGUACUUCUGUGUAAUUGCACUUACAGCUUCAUUAUAGCACUUGCAAUCUCAUGUUGAAGAUGUGGAGAGAAGAGAACCUUUAUAGGUUUGUAGCAGGACUGCAAUUAGUGCAAUUAAUGCAGCCAUUGAUGCAUCAAUUAGUGCAGCCAUUAAUGAAAGCAUGAAGGUUUCUCAAAAAAACUUAAACAUAGACCUAGCAUAUGAUCCAGUGCUAGCUCUACAGUAUAUCCGAAAGAAAUGGAAUCGGUAUGGCAAGGAGGCAACUGCACACACACAUCCAUUGCAGCACUAAUCAUGAUACGCAAGUUGGAGAAUCAACCUGUGUUCAUCAAGAGACAGGUAAAGAAAAUGGGCCCAUGUGUGCACAGUGGAAUAUGGUCUGGCUUCCACAGAGAAGAAAACCCGGGCAUUUGCAGGAACGUGGAAGGAAUUGGAUGACCUUAUGUUAAGUGAAAUAAGCCAGGCACAGAGAGACAAGUACCACACCAUCUCAUUUCUCUGUGGACUCUGAAAAUGUCAAACUCGAGGAAGCAGAGCGGAGUGACAGUUAACAGUCAUGGAAGUGGACGUGGGAGCAGGACUGGGGAGACGUCUGUCAAAGGGUGCAAAAUUUCUGUUAGAUGGAAGGAGUGAGUUCAAAAAAUCUGCUGUGGAACAUGGUGAGGACAGCUGAUAACAAUGUGUUGUAUCCUAAGAGCAGUGCAGAUUUUAACUAUUCUCACCCAAAUAAUGGAUAAGUAUGUAAAAUAAUGCAUUUGCAAUUAGUUUGAUUUAGCCACUACACAGUGAAUAUAUAUUUCAGAACCUAUGGUAGAUACCAUAAAUAUAAUACAUUCUUUCAAUUUAAAAAUAAUUUAAAAGAAAAUCUUUGUAUAUUAAGAUAAAAAUAUAUUAAAAACUUUGUUGUAUUAUUAAAUAAAAUAUUUUUGUCUUUAUGGGACAAUCCAAUCAUCGAAUCAUAGACUCUAUGUACACAGCAAAAUGCUUUUCAAUGUUUUUGUGCCAUAAGCCACAUAGACCCUGGUUCAACAGGACUCAGAGCAGGAACAGUGGAUUCUACUGAAUCAGCUGCAAUUUCUUGAAGAGUUUCAUAGAAAGAUGAACUGAUCAUAUGAACCAAAGAGAAAAGGGGAUAGAAAAAUAAAUUCAUCAUCUUCAGAAGAGUGAAAUAACCUAGCACAUUCAUAUAUUCUAAAAAUUUAUCUUCUAGUUUUCCACAUAUAGACCUUAAUGUUUUAUUAAGUUUACAGCUAAGUAUUUCAUUUUUUUGUGCUGUAGUAAAUAGCACUUCAAAUUUUAAUUAAAAGUAAUGUUUAGAUUCAAAUUGUUGCCUGGUGAAAUAUGGAAAAGCAAUUUUAUACAUUCACCUUAUAUCCCCUGGCCCUGCUAAAUUUACUUAUUAGUUCUAGAAGUCUUUUUGAGACUUAUUUGUGGUUCUAUAAAUAGACAAUCAGGUCAGUGAGAAUAGAGACAAUUUUAAUUCUUCCUUUAAAAUCUGUACCCUUUUAGUUUCCUUCAUGGGACGGCACCAGUUAGGACUUCUAUGAUGUAAAACAGGGUUGAUAAAAGAAGGUAGCGUCCCUUUCUUGAUCAACUUAGAAGGAAAAUGUCUCAUUCUCAGUGUGAGGGAUUAUGUGUGCUAUAGGAAUUUUUGUAGAUAUAUAGAUUUAAGA